rnacentral:lncRNA from 1 species
UUUUUUUUAAAGUGUGAUUUACUGAUUUUAGUCUUUUUUUUUUAUAAAUUAACAGUAUUAAAUAAAUAAAUUUAAAGGUCGCGCCACAAGGGACUCGAACCCAAGAUCUUUGACCUUAGGUAUUAACCCCUUACCACUUGAUCAACACACGCACAUAAAACUAUCCCUACUAUAUAAAUUAGGAACCCAAUUUUGAUGCAAAUAAAAAUACAAAUAGCCACUCCUCAACAACAACAAAAAAAAAAAAACCAAAAACAAAUAACCAACUUUAACUAAAAAACUUAC